GGAAUGGUGAGGGGUGGGCCACCUUUCUCUGGGUCCCACCUCUGCCUCUGCCCAGCCUGCCCCAGCUUUGUCCCACCACUUUUCCACCCAGUUAGAUACUGGAUCCCCACCUCUCCCCACCCCCACAGGGUCCUUCCCCAACUCAGGUUAGGAGACAUGGGCUCAGCUGGGGCCCUCAAGAAUCUAGGUGUGGCUCUGAAUCUAAGAUCAACAAAGGGUCUUGAUGCUGGGAGAAGGUUUCCACCCACUGACCCUCACAGGAACUAGCCAUUCAGGCUAGGGAGGGCUGUAGCUCUGGAGAGAGGUGAGGGCUCUGACUGUUGGGACCACCCUUCCACAGGAGUGUCCCUGGCUGAGUCCUAACAAGGAACUAAAAGAUGGGUGUUUGCUGAGGGAGAGAGGUGUGGACAAAGCCACAGGUGCCCUCACCUAGUACCAAAACUUUCAGAUCAGGUUUGGAGCGGAGUGACAUUUGGGGCCAGGUCUGCUGUAUCAGACAUACCCAGGGUGGAGGAGGUUGUCAAGAGACCCAGGAGGGCAAAUGAGAUACCCCAUGUGAUUCCAGAUGUCAUUAGGUGCGACUGUUCCUCAGAAGAGCAGAUCCUAAAUUUAUGACCCCUCACCCCGGUCCACAGGGCACUCUACUGCCCUGAGAAAAAGAGAAUUGGGACACUGGGGUAUGUGUAACUCACAGGCCCCAAGAGCUCUAUGGCAGACCAGCACUAGUUCCAUACUCCCUUCUGUUCAGGCAGCAGGAUAUGGGCUAGGCUGGGGCAGCUGCCAUUUCCUGCCUUCCCUCUGUUCCUGAGCCCCCUCCCCUGCCUUCUCAGCCACCUGUGCCCACUGCUCAUUGGCACCUGCUCCAGCCUUGCCUGCUGAGGGCCCAGCCUAGGUUUGGCCUGGGCUGUGAGGAGGGGAGAGAGUACAUGGCCAGCAAGCCCCUUCCUGGCCCCAUCCGGGCCGCUGACACCACGCAGAUCUUAGAUUUCCUCUUGGUGUGAUUGCUGCACCUGCUCCGAAAUCUGUCUCCCUCUCCCCUUGUGGCCCAGUGCCUUUGCCACUGCCCAGUUCACCUCUACACUCUCUAGGCAGAGGAUAAAGAUGUCUUUUUCUCUCUAACUACUCUCCCUCCCAAAUCAAGUUAGUGCUGUCUUCUUGGCUUCACCCCAUCCCCUAGGAAUUUCAGGACGUGGCUUUUAGUUUCAGCUUUGUCAUUAAUUCCCUAUAUGACUUUGGGCAAGUCCCUUGCCUUUCUGGGCUUCUGUUUCCCAUCUAUAUUGUAGUUAGGGAAAGAUAGUCUUUGACCUCUGACAAGUUGUGCUCUGACACCAAUUAGGGGAAGCUUCACGGGUCAGGAAGUUGGGCCUCUGUGGCCAAGCCCUCCUGAGAAGGGCAGGGAGACUAAAGCCCAAAGAGGGGCGGGGGCGGGGUAGGGAUGCCCAGAAGACUUCCUUUUGCACAAAUCACUUGACUACUGAUAGGAUCAGAUGACGGUUUCACAGGAACCUCUAAUCCACUGAAGUACUAGCCCUCAGCUGUGUCACCUGCUCAGGUCCUCUGUUCCCCGGGCAUCUAUUUCCUCAGGUCUUCAGAGAUACAGGUCGCCGGAUAUACAGAGCCCAGCUCCCUUAGCUAUGACUGACCCUUGCUCUGAGAGGAGUUGGGACUAUGGGAGAUCCUUGCCUCCCUGGGUCAGAGUGGGCAGGGUAGCCCUCCCCACCCUCAGAUCUACCAUCUUCAUGGUGUGAUGGUUGUACCCUUAUCUCUCACUGGGCUGUCCAGCUCUGCCAGCUCAAUCUUCAGUCUCUCUCCUCACUAAAUUAAGAUCAGAUUUUAUCUGUUCCUUCCCUCCUCCUUGAGGCCAACUAGCUGGGCUCAGCAAAGAGCUUCAGACCAUGCCCAACUCCUCCAUCCCAUCCCACCCCACCCCAUUCCCAGCCCACCACAGCCUCUAGGCCACAGCUGCAGGCGCUUAGCAGCCUUCUGAGUAUUUAUAGCCAAGUCCACCCCCUCCCCCAGCUGGCUACAAUUACAGGCCCGGCCAAACUCCCAGUCCUUGCCUUCUGGUCAUUGUGGGGAAUAGAUGAGGCAGGUACCAGAGGUACAUUGCUGUAGCCCCUGCCUUGGUAAGGGUGCAAGGAGGCAGGUAUCGGUAGUUGAAAGAGGCCUGCCCUUGCCUCAAACUGCAAAUAAAUGCCCCAUAUUGCAACCAAGAGGUGUAGUCAUCAGGACAACUUGGUCCAGCCCUGGCCCAGCUCUGAUCCUGGCCUAGAACCCGGCAGAAAACAAAUUCCAUAUCCUCUCUUAGCACCCAAAUGGGCAGGACUGGGCUCUGGGUUAUUGGGCUCUGGAUUCUAAGGCCUGGACUCUUAUAUCUGAAUCAGGACUCUGAGAUCUAGACUUUGAGGUCCUGGCUCUAGGUUUCAUGGCCUGUUUUCAGGGCCUUUGGGCUCUGGGCACCGUCUCCAGAUCAGUACAGAUCUCAGAAAGGAACCAGAACUCAAAAGGAGGACUGCCUAGCUGCUGACCUAGUUACCCUCUUUUCCUUUUUACCUUUUUCCCUGUGUGGACCCGCAGCUCCCAGCUCAGGGACCACUGGAGCUGAGGCCCUUUAAGCCCAGCCAAUGACUAAGUGACUAAGCUCCAAGCCCCCUGCCUGGAUAACCUGGUCUACACCAAAUAAGCUGAUGAUGUCCACGUGCUUCCCCAGGCUUUGGACCCAGAUAGUCACCUGCUUACUGGAUGUCUCUACGUGGGAGCCCCCCAGGCUGGUUGCAGAUGGCCUCAUACUUGUUGAUGGACAAGUCAAACACAUGAGUCUGUGGAGAGGUGGGUGUCAGCAUACUCAAGGAUAAUGGGGACCCUGUCCCCCACUUCAGAAGAACUAGCACAUGAGUUUUCUGGGGAAAUACAUCAGAAGUCUAGCACACUGGAGCUGGAGACAGUGGGAGAGGGAAUUUGUGUCUCUGAUUACAUUUUCCUGUGGUUGAGGGAAUGAGAAUAAAAAGCUUAGAAAAUUUAUGCAGAAUUAA